CAAGUGAGAAGCAAAACACCUUGGGGCAUUUUGCCAUAUGAAUGUGCCCUCCUGCUCCAUACGGACACCCAUCCAGCACCUUGCCCAGAGCCCCACUAGCACAGAGGAGAGGGGCUGCACAGACAGCUUCCCUGCCUUUCUGCAAAAGAAGCAGCGUGGAUUUCGUUUUCCAGCUGAUUUUUGCAGUCACGACUUGGAAGCGCUGCUGUUGGCUCUGUCUGAUUUUACGGCCACGCUGGAGCAGAGGGAAAGGGUGGGGAACCCCGAGUCAGGCAAAACGCACGGGGAGUGUGACCCUGCUCAGUAACCAGCACCGCCACCAGCCAGGAAACCCUGCCUGUGAGGUGAAAGCACUAUUUAUUUAAGAUAUUUCCCCCGCAGGUGAAUUUCCACAUCUUGGGCUCACUGGAAAGGGGCUGGCGAAAUAACCGCAGGAGCCACCUUUGGGAAGUGGGACGCAUCCGGGCCGCUUGGUUGCAGCCCAGCGACCUGCGGCAGCUUUGUGUUUUGCCAGAUCUGGUUUCUUGCCUGCAUAAUCCUGGUUUUGAUGAAACUGUGUUUUUAAGAAGCAAAGAAAGUCCCCAGUGAGUGGUGCUGAGUCCGCUCAUGGCCGUGGUUCCCCAGGGGCAUGCUGGGCAGCAGGCAUCCCCAUGGGAACAGCAAAGCCUCCAUCUGAUCUUCUGCCUCUCUCCAACAACAGCCCUGAAAGGAGCAAGAGAGCAAUGUGGGUCUCCAGCACUCCCCGUGCGUGAUCCUCUUGGCUUGGCAAAAGGCAGCCCAAGGCCACUCUGAGGAGCUCUGGACAGAUGGACGUGCCAUUGUGUACUUCGUGUGGCUGUAAUCUGGAGGCUGACAUAAGUAAGUUCCUGUUCCUGAAAAUAUAAAUAUACAUAAAUAAACUGUUUUCAGGAAGAUGCAGAAGCAAGUGUCUGAGAAAAAGAUAAAGCUAUAUAAACAAACACUG